GGUUGUGGCUCAGAGGUAGAGUGCUCACCUGGAGCCUGUGAGGCCCUGGGUUUGAUCCUCAGCAGCACA
rnacentral:tRNA from 1 species